CCCGCUGAACUUAAGCAUAUCAAUAAGCGGAGGAAAAGAAACUAACAAGGAUUCCCCUAGUAACUGCGAGUGAAGCGGGAAAAGCUCAAAUUUAAAAUCUGGCGGCCUUUGGCCAUCCGAGUUGUUAUUUAAAGAAGCCUCUUGCGCGCUGGACCGUGCACAAGUCUGCUGGAAUGGAGCGUCGUAGAGGGUGAGAAUCCCGUCUAUGGCACGGACGCCCAGUGCUUCUGUCAUGCGCUCACGCAGAGUCGAGCUGUAUUGCGAAUGCAGUUCAAAAUGGGUGGUGAACUCCAUCUAAAGCUAAAUAUUGUCGAGAGACCGAUAGCGAACAAGGACCGUGAGGGAAAGAUGAAAAGCACUUUGGAAAGAGAGUGAAACAGUACGUGAAAUUGUUGAAAGGGAAACGCUCGAAGUCAGUCGCGUCGUACGAGACUCACCCUCGCCUCGGCUUGUUGUACUUCUCGGACGUCGGGUCAGCAUCAAUUUUGCCCCUUGGAUAAUGUCGACGGAAAUGUGACACCUUGGAGGGUGUGUGAUAGUCUCUAGUCUCAUGCAAGAGUCGUGAUUGAGGAACUCUGCGCGCCCCCUCGGGCGUCGGGGUUCGCCCACGAUACGUGCUUAGGAUGUUGGCGUAAUGGCUUUAAACGACCCGUCUUGAAACACGG
rnacentral:rRNA from 1 species